rnacentral:rRNA from 1 species
UACGUAGGGGGCAAGCGUUGUCCGGAUUUAUUGGGCGUAAAGAGCGUGUAGGCGGCUUUGCAAGUCCGUUGUGAAAACUCGAGGCUCAACCUCGAGACGUCGGCGGAAACCAUCUGGCUAGAGUCCGGAAGAGGAGAGUGGAAUUCCUGGUGUAGCGGUGAAAUGCGCAGAUAUCAGGAAGAACACCCGUGGCGAAGGCGGCUCACUGGUCCGGUACUGACGCUGAGGUGCGAAAGCGUGGGGAGCAAACAGG